rnacentral:misc_RNA from 1 species
GAUGAAGAACGUAGCGAAAUGCGAUAAGUAAUGUGAAUUGCAGAAUUCAGUGAAUCAUCGAAUCUUUGAACGCACAUUGCGCCCCCUGGUAUUCCGGGGGGCAUGCCUGUCCGAGCGUCAUUACAACCAUCAAGCUCAGCUUGGUGUUGGGCCCCGCCGCCCCGGCGGGCCCUAAAGUCAGUGGCGGUGCCGUCCGGCUCCGAGCGUAGUAAUUCUUCUCGCUCUGGAGGUCCGGUCGUGUGCUCGCCAGCAACCCCCAAUUUUUUUCAGGUUGACCUCGGAUCAGGUAGGGAUACCCGCUGAACUUAAGCAUAUCAAUAAGCGGAGGA